rnacentral:lncRNA from 1 species
CUUCAGCUGCGUCCGUGUGUGGGCACUGAGCCGCCAUGCUUUCCCACCUGGUAUCUCUUGUGGCGAACCAGGCACAUUUGCCAGAUGCCUGGUGGAGUGAGACACUCCAGCCUCUUUCCCGGAGAGAAGCUGAGGCGGCUGUGUGGUAAAGAAAUACUCAGUUCUCAGACUUACUGGUCCCCUGAUUGUGGUCCUGUGUCUGAAGCCUCCCCAUCUGGGAGCAUCUGGGAUAUAGAAGCUGCAGGGAAUACGGAAGGCAGGGCUGUUGAGCUAUGACGACUGUGGGAAAGUCUGGUGUAAAGGAAUGAACAUUCUUGCCUUGUGGGUGAGACAGACUUAGGUAAGUUAUUUCACCCUUCUGAGCCUCAGUUCCCUCACACAUAGAAUGGUGAUCGUAAAAUCG